ACCGUACUCCUACGGGAGGCAGCAGUGGGGAAUUUUGGACAAUGGGGGCAACCCUGAUCCAGCAAUGCCGCGUGUGUGAAGAAGGCCUUUUGGUUGUAAGGCACUUUAAGCGAGGAGGAGGCUACUCUAGUUAAUACCUAGGGAUAGUGGACGUUACUCGCAGAAUAAGCACCGGCUAACUCUGUGCCAGCAGCCGCGGUAAUACAGAGGGUGCGAGCGUUAAUCGGAUUUACUGGGCGUAAAGCGUGCGUAGGCGGCUUUUCAAGUCGGAUGUGAAAUCCCUGAGCUUAACUUAGGAAUUGCAUUCGAUACUGGGAAGCUAGAGUAUGGGAGAGGAUGGUAGAAUUCCAGGUGUGGCAGUGAGAUGCGUAGAGAUCUGGAGGAAUACCGAUGGCGAAGGCAGCCAUCUGGCCUAAUACUGACGCUGAGGUACGAAAGCAUGGGGAGCAAACAGGAUUAGAAACCCUGGUAGUCCUUGAC
rnacentral:rRNA from 1 species